GCACAGUUGGGCCGAUUCUGGCUGAAAUGCGUCAGUGUUGGCUCACUGUCGGCAUCGGUGAACAGAUACUGGGCCAGAUCCUUGCCGACUGUGCAUAACAUUAUGCUGACUUACGGCGUUUUCUGUAUGGGCCAGUAUCGGCUGAAAGCAGUUGCACAGGUGUCAGGUAUGCUCGGUGUAACUGUGUGUAUUUACCAUCGGCCCGAUUUAGUUUUGUCACAAGCGGGCCACUACUAGAAUUAAGGAACUCAGCCGGCUGAAAAAAGGUUUCGGCGGUUAAUUUAAAUCCUGAGGAAGAUCCUGCAGUGCAGAAGCAGACCAACGUUAUCGAGAGGAAUCAUUCAGCUGCAAACACGAAUGCAGUUCAGAGAAACCCUCAUGGCUAAUGUUGCUGAAAUGGAGAUCGAGGGAUCCAUGAAAUGGCAGCAGAUCGAGGGGCAGACACAAGAUAAGUUUAAAAAUAUAUUAAAAACACAACUCCUUAACCGAGCAUAAACAUAACACACUCCCACAUUUCUAUAAUUCACAUCCGUUAAAGGUAGCUUACACCAAAUGUACUUGUUACAUCGGAAGAAGAAGAAAUGCUUAUCCUGACUAAUCCCAACUGUGAUACUUUUAUUCUCAUAUUUCUUAUAUUUAAAUUUUUUUUUUUAUAAUUUGUAUUACUAUGUUUCUUGUUGUAUUUGUAUAUGUGCACUGGAAGCCUCAGCCCCAAAACAAAUUCCUUGUGUGUGCAAGCACACUUGGCAAUAAAGCUCUUUCUGAUUCUGAUUCAGAAUGGCAUCUAUUUUAAUGUUAGUCUCUCUGUCUCAUUCUGAUCCCAAGGUUAGGAUGUAGUCAUCCGGAUCUAGUCUGCAUCCAGACCAGAUGGUGGACCUGCACCCUAAGAUGACUACAACAGCCUGAAUGCCAGACGAGAACAUCACUAGACAAGACCUAGAAACAAACGCCUGUGAAGACCUCGUUGACACAACAGUCCUCGGCACAGUCAUCGGAUCAGAUCCAGAGAAACAGACCAGUCCACCACACAGACCCAACGGCCAGCUUUAACUCCCCUCCCACCGAUGCCGGCGUGAUCUUAUGAAGGAAAAGGAGCUGAAUAAAAUACUCUGAAUGAUAUCAAUCCACAAUCUGACUGGUGAAGCAGCCUGGAAUCCUAACACACACCGUGUUCGUUGUUUGGCCAGAGGAGAACUGGCCCCCCGACUCAGCCUGGUUUUUCUUUCUUCGUUUCGUCACUGAUGGAGUUUGGGUUUUUGCCACUGUCGCCUCUGGCUUGCUUAUUUGGGGACACUUAUUCUUAAUACUGAUCAGCCUGCAUUGACACCAUUAUAUGAGAACUGAACUGAGCUGGAUGAUGACAUCACUGUUUUCUGCAGAGCUGCUUAAUAAUGAAAAUGGACUCUUUUUAUAAUUGAUAUACUUUAUACAGUUAUUUAACAGAACUGAAUCAACACAGCUGAAUUCAGCUGAACAAUGACACUAUUUUCUUUUUAGAGCAGCUUUACAGCCAAAUUUAACUCUGUUUGCAUCAUUGAUCAUUUUCCUGUUUAACCAUGUAAAGCUGCUUUGAAACAGUCAUUACUGUAUAGGGCUAUAUAUUUAAUGGUGACUUGACAUUUGCAAAAGGAAUUUAUUUAGUGUUAAAGAAUGAGAGUUUGUGAGUGAAAGAGAAUGUUUUUUCUUUUAAUCAUAUAUAAUAAAUUUAAUUUUCUUAUUAUUUUGUUUAAAAAUUGUGUUGUUAAAUAUUUAUUUUGUUCAUUGUUAAUAUAUGUUUAUAUUGAAGUGUAUUUGUUAAUUUUAUAAUAAAAACCCUUUUUAAAUGGUUGAA